AAAGAGCUUGCUCUUUCCGGAAUUGAGUGGCAAACGGGUGAGUAACACGUAAACAACCUGCCUUCAGGAUGGGGACAACAGACGGAAACGACUGCUAAUACCGAAUAAGUUCCAAGAGCCGCAUGGCCCAUGGAAGAAAAGGUGGCCUCUACCUGUAAGCUAUCGCCUGAAGAGGGGUUUGCGUCUGAUUAGCUGGUUGGAGGGGUAACGGCCCACCAAGGCGACGAUCAGUAGCCGGUCUGAGAGGAAGGUCCCCACAUUGGGACUGAGACACGGCCCAAACUCC
rnacentral:rRNA from 1 species